UACGGAGGGCAGCAGUGGGGAAUAUUGCACAAUGGGCGCAAGCCUGAUGCAGCCAUGCCGCGUGUAUGAAAAAGGCCUUCGGGUUGUAAAGUACUUUCAGUCGUGAGGAAGGUGUUAAGGUUAAUAACCUUAGCAAUUGACGUUAGCGACAGAAGAAGCACCGGCUAACUCCGUGCCAGCAGCCGCGGUAAUACGGAGGGUGCGAGCGUUAAUCGGAAUUACUGGGCGUAAAGGGCACGCAGGCGGUUAAUUAAGUUGGAUGUGAAAUCCCCGGGCUUAACCUGGGAAUGGCAUUCAAGACUGGUUAGCUAGAGUCUUGUAGAGGGGGGUAGAAUUCCAUGUGUAGCGGUGAAAUGCGUAGAGAUGUGGAGGAAUACCGGUGGCGAAGGCGGCCCCUGGACAAAGACUGACGCUCAUGUGCGAAAGCGUGGGGAGCAAACAGGGAUUAGAUACC
rnacentral:rRNA from 1 species